rnacentral:rRNA from 1 species
GAUGAACGCUGGCGGCGUGCUUAACACAUGCAAGUCGAACGAAGCACUUGAAACGGAUUCUUCGGAUGAAGUUUCCUGUGACUGAGUGGCGGACGGGUGAGUAACGCGUGGGUAACCUGCCUCAUACAGGGGGAUAACAGUUAGAAAUGGCUGCUAAUACCGCAUAAGCGCAAGGCAUCGCAUGAUGAAGUGUGAAAAACUCCGGUGGUAUGAGAUGGACCCGCGUUGGAUUAGCUAGUUGGCAGGGUAACGGCCUACCAAGGCGACGAUCCAUAGCCGGCCUGAGAGGGUGGACGGCCACAUUGGGACUGAGACACGGCCCAGACUCCUACGGGAGGCAGCAGUGGGGAAUAUUGCACAAUGGGGGAAACCCUGAUGCAGCGACGCCGCGUGAGCGAAGAAGUAUUUCGGUAUGUAAAGCUCUAUCAGCAGGGAAGAAAAUGACGGUACCUGACUAAGAAGCCCCGGCUAACUACGUGCCAGCAGCCGCAGUAA